AUUGAACGCUGGCGGCAUGCCUUACACAUGCAAGUCGAACGGUAACAGGUUAAGCUGACGAGUGGCGAACGGGUGAGUAAUACAUCGGAACGUGCCCAGUAGUGGGGGAUAGCCCGGCGAAAGCCGGAUUAAUACCGCAUACGACCUAAGGGUGAAAGGGGGGGAUCGCAAGACCUCUCGCUAUUGGAGCGGCCGAUGUCAGAUUAGCUAGUUGGUGGGGUAAAAGCUCACCAAGGCGACGAUCUGUAGCUGGUCUGAGAGGACGACCAGCCACACUGGGACUGAGACACGGCCCAGACUCCUACGGGAGGCAGCAGUGGGGAAUUUUGGACAAUGGGCGCAGGCCUGAUCCAGCCAUGCCGCGUGCGGGAAGAAGGCCUUCGGGUUGUAAACCGCUUUUGUCAGGGAAGAAAUCCUUUGGGUUAAUACCUCGGGGGGAUGACGGUACCUGAAGAAUAAGCACCGGCUAACUACGUG
rnacentral:rRNA from 1 species